AUGGGCGAGACGGCCAUGGGCGGGUACGGGCUGGACAAGCCGCCGCGCUGCAGCAUCAGCUUCGACACGCCGUGCGGCGCCCUGCUGCGCGAGCUCGAGCAAAUAUGGACGGAGAUCGGGGAGCAGGAACAAGAUAAAGAUCGGAUGUUCCAAGAACUCGAGGCGGAGUGUAUGCGUGUGUAUCGUCGGAAGGUCGACAGUGCUAAUGCUGAUAGAAGCCAGCUCCGCCAGUCAGUGAUGGCCAAAGAAGCAGAGCUUAAAGCUUUAGUGGCUUCGAUAGGUGAAAAUACUACACAAUUUAAGGUGAAUGAAAAGCAUGCAUCGUUGAAAGAACAACUUGCUGCAGUGACGCCUCUCUUGGAUGAUCUCAGGGCCAUGAAAGAAGAAAGAAUCAAACAGUUCUCAAAUGUGCAAUCGCAAAUCGAGACGAUAAAUGCACAAAUUUCUGAUCACAAUUGUCAGCAUGAUGAUGGUUCGUCCAAACGUCUGACCAAUGAUCAUGACUUGUCAACCAGAAGACUUGCUGAUCUUCAAAUGCAGCUACGCAAUUUACAAAAAGAAAAGUCUGAUCGCCUUCAGAAAGUAUUUGUAUAUGUGGAUGAAGUCCACUGCCUAUGCGCUGUGCUUGGGAUGGAUUUUGCAAAGACAGUUAAGGAUGUGCAUCCAAGUUUGCAUGGAACCAACUCAGAUAAUUCGACGAAUAUCAGUGAUAGCACCCUUGAAGGUCUUACUCAGACUAUCCUGAAGCUCAAAACAGAAAAGAGGACCAGAGUCUCGAAGUUGCAAGAAAUUGUGGGGAAACUCCACAAGUUAUGGAAUCUGAUGGAGUCAACAGAACAAGAGAGGAGACAUUUCAGUGAAGUAGCCGCUGUUCUUGGAUCUUCCGAGGAAGAGAUCACUUCUCCCAGUGUCCUGUCAUUAGAGACAAUUCAGGAGACAGAACAGGAAGUCGAAAGGCUAACUAAGCAAAAAGCGAGUAGAAUGAAGGAGCUUGUUCUUAAGAGAAGGGUAGAGCUAGAAAAUAUCUGCAGAAAUGCACAUAUGGAGCCUGAUACAAGCACAGCACCAGAGAAGAUCGUUGCUCUAAUCGAUUCUGGUCUAGUGGAUCCUUGCGAACUUCUCUCCAACAUCGAAGCGCAAAUUGCAAAAGCAAAUGAGGAAUCUUAUACGAGGAAAGAUAUCAUGGAGAGAGUAGACAAAUGGCUAUCGGCCUGUGAUGAAGAGACUUGGCUUGAGGAAUACAAUCAGGAUGAUAACAGGUACAGUGCCGGCAGGGGUGCCCAUUUGAAUCUCAAGCGUGCAGAGAAAGCGAGGGUCCUCGUUCAAAAGAUUCCAACUAUGAUUGACAACUUGAUAGACAAGACAUUUGCCUGGGAGGAUGAAAGCAAUACACCAUUUCUAUAUGACGGGGUUCGUCUGGUCGCCAUUUUGGAAGAGCAGAAACUCAGAAGAGUACAGAAGGAGGAAGAUAAGAAACGAUACCGGGACCAGAAGAAGCUGCAGAAUCUAUUGCUUAAAGAGAAGGAGCUGAUCUUUGGGUCCAAGUCUGUUCCAAGGAAAACAAGCAGUUUUAACAGGAGGACGAGCGGGCAUCAUCCAAAUGGAAACGGGGCUGGUUUCAUGACUCCGAUGCCCCGCCGGGUGUCGGCGGGCAGUGCCACUCCUGAGCUUUUGACACCGCGCUCGUACUCUGGCCGGUACAACAAUUACUUCAAGGAGAACAGGAGGAUGACGGCGGCACCACUCAACUUCUCUACGGCUUCCAAGGAUGACAGCAUGUCAUCCUUCGCCUCCAUUAGCGGCUCCGAGCCUGGUUCUCCAUUGGUUUUGCACUGA
rnacentral:rRNA from 1 species